rnacentral:rRNA from 1 species
AGCGGCGGAUGGGUGAGUAACACGUGGGGAACCUGCCCCUAAGUCUGGGAUACCAUUUGGAAACAGGCGCUAAUACCGGAUAAUAAAGCAGAUCGCAUGAUCAGCUUUUGAAAGGCGGCGUAAGCUGUCGCUAAGGGAUGGCCCCGCGGUGCAUUAGCUAGUUGGUAAGGUAACGGCUUACCAAGGCGACGAUGCAUAGCCGAGUUGAGAGACUGAUCGGCCACAUUGGGACUGAGACACGGCCCAAACUCCUACGGGAGGCAGCAGUAGGGAAUCUUCCACAAUGGACGCAAGUCUGAUGGAGCAACGCCGCGUGAGUGAAGAAGGUUUUCGGAUCGUAAAGCUCUGUUGUUGGUGAAGAAGGAUAGAGGUAGUAACUGGCCUUUAUUUGACGGUAAUCAACCAGAAAGUCACGGCUAACUACGUGCCAGCAGCCGCGGUAAUACGUAGGUGGCAAGCGUUGUCCGGAUUUAUUGGGCGUAAAGCGAGCGCAGGCGGAAAAAUAAGUCUAAUGUGAAAGCCCUCGGCUUAACCGAGGAACUGCGUCGGAAACUGUUUUUCUUGAGUGCAGAAGAGGAGAGUGGAACUCCAUGUGUAGCGGUGGAAUGCGUAGAUAUAUGGAAGAACACCAGUGGCGAAGGCGGCUCUCUGGUCUGCAACUGACGCUGAGGCUCGAAAGCAUGGGUAGCGAACAGGAUUAGAUACCCUGGUAGUCCAUGCCGUGAACGAUGAGUGCUAAGUGU